AGCAGCCGCGGUAAUUCCAGCUCCAAUAGCGUAUAUUAAAGUUGCUGCAGUUAAAAAGCUCGUAGUUGAAUUUCGGGACCGAUAUAUCGGUCGUGCCUCGGUACGUACUGGUAUUUUCGGUUUCUCCCUUCUGACGAACCUUGAUGUCAUUAAUUUGGUGUCUUGGGGAAUCAGGACUGUUACUUUGAAAAAUUAGAGUGUUUAAAGCAGGCUCACGCUUGAAUACAUUAGCAUGGAAUAAUGAAAUAGGACGUUUGAUUCUAUUUUGUUGGUUUCUAGGAUCGACGUAAUGAUUAAUAGGGAUAGUUGGGGGCAUUAGUAUUCAAUUGUCAGAGGUGAAGUUCUUGGAUUUAUUGAAGACUAACUACUGCGAAAGCAUUUGCCAAGGAUGUUUUCAUUAAUCAAGAACGAAAGUUAGGGGAUCGAAGACGAUCAGAUACCGUCGUAGUC
rnacentral:rRNA from 1 species